rnacentral:rRNA from 1 species
GUGGGGAAUUUUGGACAAUGGGCGCAAGCCUGAUCCAGCAAUGCCGCGUGCAGGAAGAAGGCCUUCGGGUUGUAAACUGCUUUUGUACGGAACGAAACGGUCCGGGUUAAUACCCUGGGCUAAUGACGGUACCGUAAGAAUAAGCACCGGCUAACUACGUGCCAGCAGCCGCGGUAAUACGUAGGGUGCAAGCGUUAAUCGGAAUUACUGGGCGUAAAGCGUGCGCAGGCGGUUUUGUAAGACAGGCGUGAAAUCCCCGGGCUCAAACUGGGAAUUGCGCUUGUGACUGCAAGGCUGGAGUGCGGCAGAGGGGGAUGGAAUUCCGCGUGUAGCAGUGAAAUGCGUAGAUAUGCGGAGGAACACCGAUGGCGAAGGCAAUCCCCUGGGCCUGCACUGACGCUCAUGCACGAAAGCGUGGGGAGCAAACAGGAUUAGAAACCCUAGUAGUCC